rnacentral:lncRNA from 1 species
GAUGGUGUUAUUGAUUAAAUAAUUCAUGGAAGGUGAGUAGAAACAGGGGACAAAGGUGGUGGCCCCAAGGAGGAGCUUUAGGGUCAUGAAGGCGACGCGGUCUGGGUUCAGAACGGUCACUAAACAGCUGGCUGCCGCGUGCUAUUAACAGCUGUAACAUUUAGGAAAGGUUUUCUCUUCCUACAAUGGCCCUGCAUCGGUAACCAGGCCAGCGACAGGGGUGGAAGGGAGCGUUUUGGAUGAGAACGGGGUAUUUUGGGCAAAGAGUGGGAUAAGGGUUUUGAAAUUUUAGAACGUUAGGAGGGGGGCACAGGCUGG